rnacentral:rRNA from 1 species
AUUGAACGCUAGCGGGAUGCCUUACACAUGCAAGUCGAACGGAGUGGCGAACGGGUGAGUAAUGUAUCGGAACGUGCCCAGUAGCGGGGGAUAACUACGCGAAAGCGUAGCUAAUCCCGCAUACUAUUGGCGCGGCCGAUAUCGGAUUAGCUAGUUGGUGGGUGAACGGCUCAACAAGGCGACGAUCCGUAGCUGGUUUGAGAGGACGACCAGCCACACUGGGACUGAGCCAGUGCCCAUACUCCUACGGGAGGCAGCAUUGGGGAAUUGUGGACAAUGGGGGAAACCCUGAUCCAGCCAUCCCGCGUGUGCGAUGAAGGCCUUCGGGUUGUAAAGCACUUUUGGCAGGAAAGCGGUACCUGCAUAAUAAGCACCGGCUAACUACGUGCCAGCAGCCGCGGUAAGUC